GACGAACGCUGGCGGCGUGCUUAACACAUGCAAGUCGAACGAAGAGCGAUGGAAGCUUGCUUCUAUCAAUCUUAGUGGCGCACGGGUGAGUAACGCGUAAUCAACCUGCCCUUCAGAGGGGGACAACAGUUGGAAACGACUGCUAAUACCGCAUACGAUCUAAUCUCGGCAUCGAGGAUAGAUGAAAGGUGGCCUCUACAUGUAAGCUAUCACUGAAGGAGGGGAUUGCGUCUGAUUAGCUAGUUGGAGGGGUAACGGCCCACCAAGGCGAUGAUCAGUAGCCGGUCUGAGAGGAUGAACGGCCACAUUGGGACUGAGACACGGCCCAGACUCCUACGGGAGGCAGCAGUGGGGAAUCUUCCGCAUGGGACGAAAGUCUGACGGAGCAACGCCGCGUGAGUGAUGACGGCCUUCGGGUUGUAAAGCUCUGUUAAUCGGGACGAAAGGCCUUCUUGCGAAUAGUGAGAAGGAUUGACGGUACCGGAAUAGAAAGCCACGGCUAACUACGUG
rnacentral:rRNA from 1 species